rnacentral:rRNA from 1 species
AUGAACGCUAGCGACAGGCUUAACACAUGCAAGUCGAGGGGCAGCGGGGGUAGCAAUACCCGCCGGCGACCGGCGCACGGGUGAGUAACGCGUAUGCAACUUACCUAUCAGAGGGGGAUAACCCGGCGAAAGUCGGACUAAUACCGCAUGAAGCAGGGAUCCCGCAUGGGAAUAUUUGCUAAAGAUUCAUCGCUGAUAGAUAGGCAUGCGUUCCAUUAGGCAGUUGGCGGGGUAACGGCCCACCAAACCGACGAUGGAUAGGGGUUCUGAGAGGAAGGUCCCCCACAUUGGUACUGAGACACGGACCAAACUCCUACGGGAGGCAGCAGUGAGGAAUAUUGGUCAAUGGCCGAGAGGCUGAACCAGCCAAGUCGCGUGAGGGAUGAAGGUUCUAUGGAUCGUAAACCUCUUUUAUAAGGGAAUAAAGUGCGGGACGUGUCCCGUUUUGUAUGUACCUUAUGAAUAAGGAUCGGCUAACUCCGUGCCAGCAGCCGCGGUAAUACGGAGGAUCCGAGCGUUAUCCGGAUUUAUUGGGUUUAAAGGGUGCGUAGGCGGCCUUUUAAGUCAGCGGUGAAAGUCUGUGGCUCAACCAUAGAAUUGCCGUUGAAACUGGGGGGCUUGAGUAUGUUUGAGGCAGGCGGAAUGCGUGGUGUAGCGGUGAAAUGCAUAGAUAUCACGCAGAACCCCGAUUGCGAAGGCAGCCUGCCAAGCCAUGACUGACGCUGAUGCACGAAAGCGUGGGGAUCAAACAGGAUUAGAUACCCUGGUAGUCCACGCAGUAAACGAUGAUCACUAGCUGUUUGCGAUACACUGUAAGCGGCACAGCGAAAGCGUUAAGUGAUCCACCUGGGGAGUACGCCGGCAACGGUGAAACUCAAAGGAAUUGACGGGGGCCCGCACAAGCGGAGGAACAUGUGGUUUAAUUCGAUGAUACGCGAGGAACCUUACCCGGGUUUGAACGCAUUCGGACCGAGGUGGAAACACCUUUUCUAGCAAUAGCCGUUUGCGAGGUGCUGCAUGGUUGUCGUCAGCUCGUGCCGUGAGGUGUCGGCUUAAGUGCCAUAACGAGCGCAACCCUUGCCACUAGUUACUAACAGGUAAAGCUGAGGACUCUGGUGGGACUGCCAGCGUAAGCUGCGAGGAAGGCGGGGAUGACGUCAAAUCAGCACGGCCCUUACAUCCGGGGCGACACACGUGUUACAAUGGCGUGGACAAAGGGAAGCCACCUGGCGACAGGGAGCGAAUCCCCAAACCACGUCUCAGUUCGGAUCGGAGUCUGCAACCCGACUCCGUGAAGCUGGAUUCGCUAGUAAUCGCGCAUCAGCCAUGGCGCGGUGAAUACGUUCCCGGGCCUUGUACACACCGCCCGUCAAGCCAUGGGAGCCGAGGGUACCUGAAGUCCGUAACCGCGAGGAUCGGCCUAGGGUAAAACUGGUGACUGGGGCU